rnacentral:rRNA from 1 species
UACGUAGGGGGCAAGCGUUGUCCGGAAUCAUUGGGCGUAAAGAGCGUGUAGGCGGCCCGGUAAGUCCGCUGUGAAAGUCCAGGGCUCAACCCUGGGAUGCCGGUGGAUACUGUCGGGCUAGAAUCCGGAAGAGGCGAGUGGAAUUCCUGGUGUAGCGGUGAAAUGCGCAGAUAUCAGGAGGAACACCCGUGGCGAAGGCGGCGUUCUGGACUGCAACUGACACUGAGGAACGAAAGCCAGGGGAGCAAACGGG